rnacentral:rRNA from 1 species
CCUACGGGAGGCAGCAGUGGGGAAUUUUGGACAAUGGGCGCAAGCCUGAUCCAGCAAUGCCGCGUGAGUGAAGAAGGCCUUCGGGUUGUAAAGCUCUUUUGUCAGGGAAGAAACGGUGAGGGCUAAUAUCCCUUGCUAAUGACGGUACCUGAAGAAUAAGCACCGGCUAACUACGUGCCAGCAGCCGCGGUAAUACGUAGGGUGCAAGCGUUAAUCGGAAUUACUGGGCGUAAAGCGUGCGCAGGCGGUUUUGUAAGUCUGUCGUGAAAUCCCCGGGCUCAACCUGGGAAUUGCGAUGGAGACUGCAAGGCUAGAAUCUGGCAGAGGGGGGUAGAAUUCCACGUGUAGCAGUGAAAUGCGUAGAGAUGUGGAGGAACACCGAUGGCGAAGGCAGCCCCCUGGGUCAAGAUUGACGCUCAUGCACGAAAGCGUGGGGAGCAAACAGGAUUAGAUACCCUGGUAGUCCACGCCCUAAACGAUGUCUACUAGUUGUCGGGUUUUAAUUAACUUGGUAACGCAGCUAACGCGUGAAGUAGACCGCCUUGGGGGAGGUACGGUCGGUCGAAGAAGUUAAACGUUAAAGUUAAGUUAAGUUAGACGGCGUUGAGACGUUGACCGACGGACGACGACGAGGGAGGAGG